UAUGACCACAUCACGUUGAAAUACCGGUUCCUGUACGAUCAUCGAAGUUAAGCAAAACAGAAGUUCGUCAGUACCUAGAUGGGUGACCUCUUGGGAAUAUCACCUGCUGUAA